GACGAACGCUGGCGGCGUGCUUAACACAUGCAAGUCGAGCGAUGAAACACCUUCGGGUGUGAAUUAGCGGCGAACGGGUGAGGAACACGUGAGAAACCUGCCUUCAACUCUGGGAUAACUCCGGGAAACCGGGGCUAAUACCGGAUAUGAGCCUUGAUCGCAUGAUCGGGGCUGGAAAGUUUUUCGGUUGAAGAUGAUCUCGCGGCCUAUCAGCUUGUUGGUGAGGUAAUGGCUCACCAAGGCGACGACGGGUAGCCGGCCUGAGAGGGCGACCGGCCACACUGGGACUGAGACACGGCCCAGACUCCUACGGGAGGCAGCAGUGGGGAAUAUUGGGGCAAUGGAGGAAACUCUGACCCAGCGACGCCGCGUGAGGGAUGAAGGCCUUCGGUUGUAACC
rnacentral:rRNA from 1 species